GUAGGCCUACUGCACAGCGAACUCAGAACAACGAACAGCGAAGUAUGUGACAAAUUCUAAAGUUACAGACUAGCCUAUUUGUUUCUUUAUAAUAGGCAUACAUAAAUCACAUGCUAAAUCACUAUUGGUCAAAAGAUUCCUUUGCAGCGGCCCAGCAUUGAAUCCGACCUGCGGCACUUUGCUUGCGUGUCAUUCCCUCUCUUAUUCUCCCCCGUUCCUGUCUAUCUACUGUCACUAUCGAAUAAAAAAUAAU